UCAGACAUGGUGUACGGUUACACCGCCUCGGUCCUUAAGGAUGCAACUUGAACAAACUAGUCGGAGGCAGUCCGGGGUUCGACUCCCUGUGUCUGAA